GACGAACGCUGGCGGCGUGCUUAACACAUGCAAGUCGAACGGUAAGGCCCUUCGGGGUACACGAGUGGCGAACGGGUGAGUAACACGUGGGUGAUCCGCCCUGCACUUCGGGAUAAGCCUGGGAAACUGGGUCUAAUACCGGAUAGGACCACUGCCUGCAUGGGUGGUGGUGGAAAGCUUUUGCGGUGUGGGAUGGGCCCGGGGCCUAUCAGCUUGUUGGUGGGGGGAUGGCCUACCAAGGCGACGACGGGUAGCCGGCCGGAGAGGGUAACCGGCCACACUGGGACUGAGAUACGGCCCAGACUCCUACGGGAGGCAGCAGUGGGGAAUAUUGCACAAUGGGCGCAAGCCUGAUGCAGCGACGCCGCGUGAGGGAUGACGGCCUUCGGGGUGUAAACCUCUUUUAGUAGGGAAGAAGCGAAAGUGACGGUACCUGCAGAAAAAGCACCGGCUAACUACGUGCCAGCAGCCGCCGUAA
rnacentral:rRNA from 1 species